rnacentral:misc_RNA from 1 species
UUCGCAACUGGGUAGCUGAAAUCAAGGACCUCACUUAUGAUUCUGAGGAUAUCAUCGAUACCUUUCUUCUUAAAGCUGCAAGGGGCGGGGGAGAAGGUUUUCAUGGGUUCAUCAACAGGGCUUCCUUCAUGUUCACAAAGGCUUUUCAUCUACAUGAAGUAGAGACCCAGAUCAGAUCCGUCCGAGCUAAGAUUGGGGAUAUUUCUACCAGUAUGCAAACUUAUGGUAUCAAAUUUGUUGCUAAAGGAGAAGGGUACAGUUCUGCACGUGAGAUGCAACAACGACUAAGAAGAUCAUAUCCAUAUGAUGAUGAUGAGCAAGUUAUCAGCUUGGAUGCAAACAUGAGGGAUCUUAAAGAUCAGUUGAUGAUGGAAGAAAAGCAAGUACUGAUAGUUUCCAUAGUGGGCAUGGGAGGACUUGGAAAAACAACCCUUGCCAAGAAAGUGUGCAAUGACUCUUAUGUGAAGCAACAUUUUUAUAGCUAUUCUUGGGCCUUCCUAUUUCAAUAAUUCUCCACAAAGGAUGUUAUGGUUGAAAUUUUGAUGGAUGUUACAUCUAGCAAUGAUAAAUCAAAGUUAGAAAGAACAGAAGAAGAAAAAGUUUCGAAAUUCAAGUUGGAAAGAAUGAAGGAGGAACAAAAGUUCAAAUCUUUGUUCAAAAAGAUGGAAGAGGAAGACCUGGCUAAAACACUUUACAGUGUGUUGGAGGAGAAGCAUUACUUGGUGGUUCUGGAUGAUAUUUGGACAAAUGAGGCGCGG